rnacentral:lncRNA from 1 species
ACUGGACGAAGAAUUUGCCAAGAUGCUGCUCAUAAAAGAGGAGCGGAUUAAGGAGAUGGAGAGGCUGCUGUCGGCGAAGGAGCAGGAGGUGAAUGAACUGAAAAGAAAACUACAUAAAUAUCAGUCAGUUCUGCCGAGCACCAUCGGACCCAGAACCAGGCGCGCGCAGGGCAUCUCGGCUGAGCCCCAAACCGCGAGGUCUUUCCAGGACCUGAAGAGCGAGGCUUUACGCAAACACCACAAGUCUGUCAGUUUGUGAGCAUUUCAAUACUCCUUGUGUUUAUGUCUGGUGAAUAUUUACUUUAUGCUGUGUGGAUUUUGGUGGAGAGCCAGAUGCCUACCAUCUUUGAGAGGAUGAAUUUGUUCUGGCAUUCACGAACACGGAUGGUACAUGUAAUAGACUGAUUUCACUAAAACAAUAACUGUGCAUGACACCAUUUGAUGAUUCAUUCAUGCCCAUACAGAUUUUUUUGCAGUCACUGGUUCAACAUACAGAUCUUUUGUUCGAUUUAAAGACAAUAUGAGAUUAAAGUUAGUAG